rnacentral:misc_RNA from 1 species
AAGUCGUAACAAGGUUUCCGUAGGUGAACCUGCGGAAGGAUCAUUGGGAAGAGUGGGGGGAAGAUGUUGGAAUGAAUUGGGAGAUAUGAGUGACAAAAAGAUUCUAUUCUUAAAUGACUAGCCACCUGGGAUCUCUGGGCUCUU